rnacentral:rRNA from 1 species
CGGCGAGUGAAGCGGGAUGAGCUCAAGCUUAAAAUCUCCAUGCAAAUUUUGCAUGGCGAAUUGUAGUCUAUAGAGGCGUGAUUAGCGUAGGCACUUGGGGUAAGUUCCUUGGAAGAGGACAGCAUCGAGGGUGAUACUCCCGUUUUUCCCCGAGUUGCUUAUGCGUACAAUCCGUUUUCUUUGAGUCGCGUUGUUUGAGAAUGCAGCGCAAAGUAGGUGGUAAAUUCCAUCUAAAGCUAAAUAUUGGUGCGAGACCGAUAGCAUACAAGUACCGUGAGGGAAAGAUGAAAAGAACUUUGAAAAGAGAGUUAAAGAGUACCUGAAACUGCUGAAAGGGAACCAAAUCGUUUUUAGUGUUCAUAAUCCGUGGUAUAUUCCAUUGGCGAAUGUGUGCGUGCGUGUACUAUGGCAGCGGCUUUUUGCUGCGCCUUGUGUGUGUGUGCAUUUUCUUGCCGAUGCCCUGUACCGUGGUGGGACGUCAUUGUCGGUUCGUAAACUGCGGGAAAUGACUGCCGAGGAGGUAGGACGAACGCUUGCGUUUGUCUGUUAUAUCUUGGCGGACGUAGUAGUCGCGGUUGGGACUGAGGUGCCUACAAUGUGCUUAUAUGAGUGGGAUCGAUUCUCCUUUUGCGCUGUGUGCGAAUAGCUUGCUAUGCGUGUGUGGCUGCAUGUGGAUUGA